rnacentral:rRNA from 1 species
GACGGACGCUGGCGGCGUGCUUAACACAUGCAAGUCGAACGGAAGGGCCCUGCUUUUGUGGGGUGCUCGAGUGGCGAACGGGUGAGUAACACGUGAGUAACCUGCCCUUGACUUUGGGAUAACUUCAGGAAACUGGGGCUAAUACCGGAUAGGAGCUCCUGCUGCAUGGUGGGGGUUGGAAAGUUUCGGCGGUUGGGGAUGGACUCGCGGCUUAUCAGCUUGUUGGUGGGGUAGUGGCUUACCAAGGCUUUGACGGGUAGCCGGCCUGAGAGGGUGACCGGACACAUUGGGACUGAGAUACGGCCCAGACUCCUACGGGAGGCAGCAGUGGGGAAUAUUGCACAAUGGGCGGAAGCCUGAUGCAGCAACGCCGCGUGCGGGAUGACGGCCUUCGGGUUGUAAACCGCUUUCGCCUGUGACGAAGCGUGAGUGACGGUAAUGGGUAAAGAAGCACCGGCUAACUACGUG